UCUCCGUUGGUGAACCAGCGGAGGGAUCAUUAUAGAGUUUUUUAGACUCCCAAACCCAUGUGAACUUACCUUUGUUGCCUCGGCGGGUGCUCCGGUGCGAACCGGGGCGCCAGCCCGCCGGCGGCUCGCUACUCUGUAUUUACUACUGCAUCUCCGAGCAAUAGCAAACGAAUCAAAACUUUCAACAACGGAUCUCUUGGUUCUGGCAUCGAUGAAGAACGCAGC
rnacentral:misc_RNA from 1 species